rnacentral:lncRNA from 1 species
GUUUGUAUAUAGAGAUUUUACUUUCUUUUUUAACUGACAACCAAAUGUUUGACUCAAUUAAAGACUGAAGCUUGAACAUUCUCGUGAUGGAUGUCACAUGUCUUAUCACAUGAUAGCUGUGCAUCACCCCAGGCAAUAAACACAGAUUUGAUAGACUAUUCACCAAAACAAAAUAAUUUUUUUUCUUUGUUUGAGGAAGAUUGGCCCUGAGCUAACAUCUGUGCCAAUCAUGUGCUAUGUUGUAUGUGCGUCACUGCCACAGCAUGGCCACUGACGAGUGGUAUGGGUCUGUGCCUGAGAACCAAACCUGGGCCACGGAGGCAGAGUGCACCAAAUUUACCGCUAGGCCAUAGGGGAAUUUCUUUACCCUGGGAUCCUAGAAUGGGACGGUGUCAGGCUGAGCCACACAGGAAAGCAAAAUAGAGCUUCAUUCCAACCCGGCUCAUGAUAAAGAAGUGAGAUUUAAAAAUGUUGAGGGAAAGAGGCCAGGCCGGUGGCAUAGUGGCUAAGUUCGUGUGUUUUGCUUUGGUGGCUCGAGGUUUGCAGGUUCACAUCCCAGGCACGGACCUCCACACUGCUCAUCAAGCCAUGCUGUGGUGGCAUCCCACAUAUAAAAUGGAGGAAGAUGGGCACAGAUGUUAGCUCAGGGCCAAUCUUCCUCACCAAAAAACCCCAAAAAAUGAAAACAAAAACGUUGAGGGAGAGGAAGAUGUAAUCUCUGGUUUUCGAGCGAUGGCAGUUGCACGAUUUGGUCUCAUUAGAACGUCUGCACAUUUGGGGAAAAGGCCUCUUUUUCUGCCAAAUACUAUCACGUAGGAACCCGACUGACAUAUAAGACCAGAACAGUCUUGAUGUGCUUCUGUCCUUGCUUGACUCCUUUCACUCUUUCCUGGGACAAGGCUGGGAACAAAUACAUGUACAUAUGAAUGAAAAGAGGCAGUGAACAAAAUAUGCAUUACAGCCUCCUGUCUAAAGCUGCUGGAACACUUUUCUCUCUCUGCCUUUGUUUUCUGAACCAUCCAGGUCCAGUCAUAGACUUUUGUUAGUCAUCUCAGAAGCCCCUCCACGUCCCCAAGUACAAUAAGUAAUCAUCAUCCUGACAUUGACAGGAACCAUUUCCUUGCGUUUUGCUUCUUACGAUUGUAUCACCCGCUGGGCAUCCUUAUUCACAGUAGUUUAGUCUUGCCCAUCUCUUUCUUUUUGCUUUAACUUUUUUUAUUGUGUCGAAAUAAGCGCAAUGUAAAAGUUACCAUUCGUGACAUGUAGCACAUUUGCAAUGUUGUGCAGCCGUCACCCCACCUAGUUCCAGAACAUCUUCGUCACCCUAAAAGGAAACGCUGUGCCCAUGAGCAGUCAUUCUCCAUCCUUCUCUGGAAACCACCAGUCUGCUAUCUGUGUCUCUGGAUUUGCCACCUCUGGACACUUCAUGCAAAUGGAAUCACACAGCCUGUGACUUUGUGUGUCUGGCUUCUUUCCGCUGGGACAACUUUUUCAAGUAAAUACUGGAGCUUUGAUGUCUUAGGACUCUUCAGAUGCUUUCUUUUCUGCCAGGAACAAUAACAUCUCAUGGAGCUGUCACAUAAAAAAUUCCACGUCAUACGGCCAGCUGGGUUGUCUGUACCUCCCCUCACAUUCUAAGUCUCACUGGAUACUUGUCUCUCUCACAGAAACGCCCAUCUCUGCUGCUUCUCCAAGAACAGAUGUACCCCUUCCUGGGCACUUUUCUCUAGCUCUUCAGAGCUUACCUGCGUAUUUCUUCUAUUAGUGACGUGUUACAAAUGUUUGCAAUUUUACACCAUCAACACUCUCGAGGGCUGCUCUGUGGUGGGCCCGUAAUUGUAGUGAUCCUGCUGGCCUCCAUAGUGAGCACUGUUUAGAACCAAAAAAUGCCAAAUUUUUAUGGUUAAAUGAAUUCGAGCGUGUGAAAGAAGCUUCAUUGAAAUGAUGAUAUGAUGGGAUGAGCAAGAAUUUUCUUGGCCCAAGAAGGUCAAGGAGCAGAGGUCAGUCUCGUGAGGGUCUCCACUUCACAUCCCCAGGGCCCUUGGGGGCCUCUGGGUGGUCAGAGUCUUGAUUCACUUAAAUAAGUGGUGAUUUGCGAGAAAAAUAGCGGAGAAGAAAAAUUUGAGUUUUUAAGAACUCAUUCUACAAAAGCAACGAUUAUGUGAAGAUUGCACCUCAUUAUUUGAAAGAUCAACAGAAAAUACAGCUUCG